GGACCCGCACAAGCGGUGGAGCAUGUGGUUUAAUUCGAUGCAACGCGAAAAACCUUACCUACUCUUGACAUACUUGGAAGCUCUUGUAAUGAGAGUGUGCCUUUUGGAACCAAGAUACAGGUGCUGCAUGGCUGUCGUCAGCUCGUGUCGUGAGAUGUUCCGUUAAGUCGGAUAACGAGCGCAACCCUUACCCUUAUUUGCCAGCGAUUCGGUCGGGAACUAUAAGGGGACUGCCGGUGAUAAACCGGAGGAAGGUGAGGACGACGUCAAGUAUCAUGGCCCUUACGAGUAGGGCUACACACGUGCUACAAUGGGGAAUACAGACGGACGCUAAGCCGCGAAGCUGCG
rnacentral:rRNA from 1 species